rnacentral:lncRNA from 9 species
UUUUUUUUUUUUUCUUUUUAGCCAAAGGAGCCUGUGCUUUUCCCUUGUCUUGAACAAUAGAUCUUUCAAAGACAAGAAUCCAAUGACCUUCUUCAAGGCAAAACUUCCCUUCUUCCCCGUCUUCUCUAUGGCACUGUGGUCCUUGCUGGCUCUGCUUACUUUCUUCCAUACUUUGUAUUCAUGUAAUCCUCAUUACGAUAUUAAGUCAGAUUUAUUUUGUUUUCCACAUCUGUUGUUUUCAGCCCUAUUGAUGGCAUUACAUGGCAAGAUGAGCUUGGGAAAGAAAAUAACCAAAGCGUGUGGGGUUUCAGGAGUAAAUAUGGAGCUCUCUGCCUUUGAUCCAGAAAGUCCUGUUUCUCCUACAAAGCUUCCUCUAUGCAUCUUGGAAAACUCUAGAUGCUAAAGACUUGGGAAGAGAAAAGGAGAAAGAACAGAUAAUAAAAAUCCUGGAAUUAAAAACAAGGACUCUUUACACAGCUCUUCAAUAUUAAUCUAAAAAUUAAAGAAAAAAGUUCAAGCGAAUUUGUGAAAAUAGCGUAAUAAAAUACAUUCAUAAAAGAAAUUGACAUACGUAACUUAAGACACAAAAUUACUGCUCAGAUUAUUGUCUGAUAGGAAAAAGAAGAAUUCUAUCAACACGAGCAUAUUAAUGUUUCUAUAAAAUUUGAAAUUUCCUGAAAUUCUCUACUAGUAUUGCAAUAUCAGAACUUGAAGAAUUUAAUUUUCUAUGAUGGUUCAUCUCCACUGACUUAGUUAUUGACUAAAGAAAGAAAUCAUUGGUAGCAAUGUGGACCUGGUUCAUUGUCUGGCUGAUUCAUAGCUCUUGACUGGCUUAACCAUAACAACUUAAAAUCUAACCGAUAUGUUUUCCUAGAAGAGCUAAUGAAAAUUCUCUGGGCAUUGAAAUCUAUCCCUAAAUGUGACUUUAAUUUUGCCUCACUAUUAUUUAAUCCCUGCUUUUCUCCAGGUAAAAAAACCAUCAAAUUGUAUGUCAGGUUUUCCCCACUUAUUUGGGUCCCCAAGAAAUUAUAGUGAAUUAUUUAAACAUUUUAAUUACAUUCUUGUUAGGCAGGAGGAGUACCAUUCCCUCUCUACAGCUCCUCUCAAAAAAAUCCGUAAGUGGAUUUAUGGGUGUGAAUGGGGAAGAAGUUGUGCAUAGUGUUUAGAAAUGUUAAAUCUGAGCUAAGAGAAAAUGAGUCCUUCUGCCAGCAGUGAAAAACCAGGGAAUCCUUUCAUUGUCACGAGCCAGUAGCCACCAGAUGCUUAGAAUUCCAUGUAUUUUAAGGACAAACCAUUCAGUGACUCCUUUGACACUCCAAGUAUGCCAAUAAUUCAAUGUAUUAGUCGGAUGCAAAUUUUAUACAAUAAGGUAUGGAAAGCAAACUGUAAUUGGGGGUGCCUGAGUGAAUGGAGCUCUAUCCUUUGACAGGGCCCAUUGUUGAACUCCAGCCUAGACCUCCGACCCGUUACUUUGCAAGGAUACAAUAGCCUUUGAUAUGAGAUGGUGGGAAACGGACUUAGAGACUCAUUUCACAUUCACUUGCAAUUCAUCAGUUUGGCGAGGACUUUUAGCAGCUUUAAUGACCACAGCAAUUGAUGGUUAAAUCAAUUUGUGCCGGUGACAGCAUGGCGGGCCUGUAGACUGUAACAAUCCAGGAUUGCACCAGGCAGAAAAGACUCUGUUAUUCAGAUGUGCAUGGCUCCUGCUCAGUUCACAGGGAGAACAACAGGGAGACAGUCUGUCACCGGGCAGGUCCCCCAAGAAUACACACAUUCACUCCAGUUGACCACACAAUGCCUAGGCUUCUUUGUAAAGUGGUGCCAUAGAUUUUUUUUUUUUUUUAAGUAUUGUUGCAAGUAAAAAUAUACAGUAGAAGAAAACGAUUUCUAAUAUUUAACUCUAUCCUAAGAGAAAGUAGGAAACCAGAAAGAAUUUAACCUUUGUUCCCUUGAUCAAAAUGGGUGGUCCUACCCCCUGUAACCAGGAGACACACUUCCCCCCCCAAAAAAAAUAUAGAAAGAGAGGAAUAGAAAAUCAACAGCAGAGAUUAGGACAGAGGAGGUUUAUGUUUAGAGGGAAAAAGGUGAAAGGAAUUUUAAAAAACAACAUUGCAUUGUGUCAUAAAGAAGGAAAUACUGCUCCCUCUUCUGUUUAUAAGAGGGAUUUUUUUCCAAAUCCUUAGAUCCAUCUUUUUAAAUUUUUAAAUGUAAAUGUUUAUAAUGAAAAAAAUGACAGUGUCAGCAUGGUGGGACAGCUUAUGUGAUUUAUUUAUAGUAAAAAAUGUUAAAUAAAUAAAUACUUUGCUGAGCCUAUGUUUUAAUGUUUGAAAACUGUAUAACCAAAAUUGACAUUUUAAAGGUGGAGGAAGGGACAAAAAGUCAUUUCACAUCAACAAAACUUUUUGUGUCAGCAUAAAUGAAUGUUAGAAUGACUAAUAAAAUUAUACACAAUCCAAGUCUGCAUAAAAUGUACUAAGUAAUGCAUCUAACUCUAAGUUCAAAUAAGGGGGAAAGCCAAUAUAUUAUUUAAAUGUCUGAAUUAUAAUGGAUGAAAUAACCUAAGGUCCACAGACGUACCUUAAGGGACCUCUAAGAUAAGAGAGAUAAUUUAAAUUACUGAUUAGGAUUUUUUGAAAAAGGCAUUAAUGCUACAAUUUUCACAGAACAGAAAUGAUCUCCCAAAGUAUGGAAACAAUAUACUUGUAGCAUUAAAUUCAGGAUUUAAUUAAACCAACUAUAAAGAUGGAAUGUCUAUAUCCUGAGUUAGCUUUUAUGCCUUAUUAAAAAUCCGACCAAAUGAUACAAUUAUUUUAAACUAUGGUGGAAAAGGGGGAAAAUAAUCUUUUGCGGGACACCAGUAGAUCGAUGAGAAAUGUAGUGCACAAACACGCAGCUAUAGUACUGCAGAAAAAAAAUGUAAACAACAUUUUCCACCAGAUUUGUCUAAACAUUGAAAGAAUAUUGAGGUUGUGCAGAGGAGGUCUUGGCACUGAGUCCAGAAGCUGUACUUGGUAACUGGGGAGAGGGAAGAGGAGGUGAGUUUCCAUGGCAACACGGGUGCCCAAAGCAAAUGGAACUAGCGAGCAUCUUCCCAAGGGAGGCAGGGAGCAUGGAAAGUGGAAACAGAGGGGGAAGGGCAGUGGCAGCUUCUGAAAAGCUGGUUUAUGCUGAAUAAGUGUUUUGUGCAAAGCUGUGACGUGAUCCAUAUCAGAGUGUGUAUUCUGAGAGAGCUGACAUCCCCUUGUAACAUACUGCUUCAGGGAUUAAAGACCGCUUUUGCCUGGGAAUACAUAUUUGUCUUGCAAUUUCCCUUUUGGAUGUAUAAAGAUACUGAAGUCAUCUUGAUGCUCACACUGUCUCCUACCUUCACAAUAAAAUAAUAGGAGGUGACUAGAAUUUAAAUUUAUCUGUCUUUUUCUCUGUCAUUGUACCUGGGAGUCAAGUUUCUAGGGGAAAUAAAAAACCUUUGAUUUCCUUUUCUUAGCAGUCAAAGCAGAUUAGAAGUGGUUUCUCAUCCUUCUGAUUAUGAAACUGUGAUUCUCUCCUGACAACAGUGUUUCCUGUGUCACAAGGCAGUAUAAUAUUCCUAAGGAAUGAGACUAUAUAAAAGUUCACCUUAUUAAUCUGAUGAAAAUGAUCAAGAUUAAUCUUAUCUCAUUAUAAAAGGCUCAAUGUAAAGACUAAAACAGUAAUGGCACCAAGAAUAGGUGACAGAUGGAGAGCUAACUCUCUUCAACGCUCUGGAAAUAAACACGUUCCACAGAAGAAAGCCCUUUCAUUAGAGGUCAGAUUAUAUUGCAAAUUAGUACCAAGUAGAAGGGCCUGAUAAAAUAUGGACUUGGUUGCACAAGAGUUAAACUUACACCAUCACCUGAUGGUUUUAAUAAUAAAAAUCUGGAUCAGACUCUACACUGGUGUAUAAACUCUGUGAGGGCCAUGGCUAUGUCUACCUUUUUCACAUAAUAUUCCCAGCACCCCACAGAACCUGCACUUAGCAGAUACUCAAUACAUAUUUGUUUACUAUUGAAAAAGCAAGAUGAACCAUUUUUCAAAAUUGUGAGAUAGGACUUUAAAUGCACAGGAAAGAAAUGAACUUUUACUCACCAUCUUCAACAUCAUUAUUAAGGCCGCGUGCUCAUGUUCUCUUAUUUAAUACUCAACAAUACCUGGAAAGGUAAUUAUUAUCCCUAUUUUACAAAUGAGAAAAGAGAAUCCCAGGAGGGCUGUGACUUUCCCAAACUUACACCUCUGAAGAGGCUGAGACUCAAAUCCAGUCCUAUUCAAAUACCGUCCUUGUGAUGGUCCAGCUUUUCCACACUCCAUACUAUAGAUCAGAAUGCACAGACUCACUCCCACUUUGGUUUGAUCUGAAGAAUGAAAAUGCAAAGGAUUUUCUCAUUAUACUCAUACACCCCUUGGGACCCUCUGAAAGCUCAGGGAAUGAGGCACUGGCUCUACCAUCAACCCUGCCCCUUGGAAGGCAGUGGAGGGCAGGACCUGAAAUCCAAAGUUUCAUUAACCAAGUAUAAUUCUGAGACCUCCUGUACUGACCCAGCUUUUUCCAGAUCCAUCAAAACCCCUUCUCUUCUUUUAUCCUCCCUUUACUAAUUCCAUUUUUAAAAAUCAGUUCCAGUGAUUCCAACAGAACCUCCAUUCACUACCAAUAUGUUUUUCUAUGAACAUAGUCUCGUCAUAGAAUAAUCCCUCCACUGCACUUUCAUGGUUUUCUCUUUCAUAUGAAAAAGUUGUUCAUUUUUCUUCCCCCUAUAUUUCAAGAGCCAUAACACUCCUGAAUUCCCCCCAACAUUUUCAGACCAUCCUUCUUUCACCUUUGUUCAAAAAGAUAGGAUGCAGGAGUUCCCAUCAUGGCUCAUUGGGUUGAGAACCCAACAUUGUCUCCAUGAGGAUGCAGGUUUGAUCCCUUGCUCAGUGG